rnacentral:rRNA from 1 species
UACGGGGGGGGCAAGCGGUUGUUCGGAAUUACUGGGCGUAAAGGGCUCGUAGGCGGCCAACUAAGUCAUACGUGAAAUCCCUCGGCUUAACCGGGGAACUGCGUCUGAUACUGGAUGGCUUGGAGUUGGGAGAGGAUGCGGAAUUCCAGGUGUAGCGGUGAAAUGCGUAGAUAUCUGGAGGAACACCGGUGGCGAAGGCGGC